rnacentral:rRNA from 1 species
UACGUAGGGACCAAGCGUUGUCCGGAAUCAUUGGGCGUAAAGCGCGCGUAGGUGGCCAUUUAAGUCCGCUGUGAAAGUCAAAGGCUCAACCUUUGAAAGCCGGUGGAUACUGGGUGGCUAGAGUACGGAAGAGGCGAGUGGAAUUCCUGGUGUAGCGGUGGAAUGCGCAGAUAUCAGGAGGAACACCAAUAGCGAAGGCAGCUCGCUGGGACGUUACUGACACUGAGGCGCGAAAGCGUGGGGAGCGAAUGGG